rnacentral:tRNA from 1 species
CGCUUUUAAAGGAUAACAGCUCAUCCGUUGGUCUUAGGAACCAAAAACUCUUGGUGCAAAUCCAAGUA